UACAGAGGGGGCAAGCGUUGUUCGGAAUUACUGGGCGUAAAGGCGCGUAGGCGGCCCGCUAAGUCGAACGUGAAAUCCCCGAGCUCAACUCGGGAACUGCGUCCGAUACUGGCGGGCUUGAAUCCGGGAGAGGGAUGCGGAAUUCCAGGUGUAGCGGUGAAAUGCGUAGAGAUCGGGAGGAACACCAGCGGCGAAGGCGGCUAACUGGACGAGCACUGACACUCAACUACGAAAGCGUGGGGAGCAAACAGG
rnacentral:rRNA from 1 species